GAUGACCAAUGAACGAUUCCUACCGCGGACUUAUGAAUUAACUAACGUUUCAUGAAUAUAAAUUAGGACGCGUGACUGGACACUUCGAGGAGAUAAAGAAGGAGCGUCAUCGCAACCUAAUUAAUAUUCAUGAGCUUGUGCAACUCCAUAGUAGGAUUCGUAAUUUCGGUUCCCCUCUGUAUCUGAUGCACAGGAUUGUCAGUUCUUCCGAAGAGCCGUCAUCACCGCCUCACUGAUGCCCUCGCUAGACGGACGCACGAAUGAAGCACUCUAACGAAUCUCUUCUGUUUAACGAUUCGGUCACAGCGAGCAUGACUUCAAUACGUGAAUCGUUUUAUGAACCGAACCGCCUGAGAUAACCGAUUCGCUAAAACGAUUCAACUGAGAAACUCCAGGACCCUCAUGAUGGUGCAAAAUCAAAGGACAAUCUUCCCUUUACAUCUUCCGUGUUGCAUCUAAGCAGAAUGUGGGAAAUGAGCAAACAAAAUCUCAUAUAUGGAUGCAUUUAACUCAAGAAUCUUCCUUCGGUUUAACCUGCAUUGUACUACAGGUAAAUACUCAGAAAUAUUGCUACAUUAAAACGUCUUCGUUCACACUGUAGCCCAAACUGAUUUGAUUCAAUUUUACAUUUUUUUUUUAACAUGACAAUUAUUAAAUCAGGGUUAACUUUGGUUGUGCUAAACAAAACAAAUGACAGAUCACCAAUGACUUUUAAUACACAAAUGUUUAUUCAGCCAAACUAAGCAACAUUAUAAGAACAGAUGUGUGACUGAGCAAGAGAGUGGACUUGACAGAUCAGGACACAAGUCUCUAGUUAAAAGAUUUACUGAAGAUAAAUCACAUUCCUCAGAAACUCUGCUACUAUCUUUACUGUCACUGUGCAUGGUGCCACGCUGUAAAAACAGAAAAGUCUAAUCCAAAGACCUAAAAGCAUCACGUUUAACAUUCUUUUUUUCGACAUUUUUCUGUUCUUUAAUAAGAAAUAAAUUUUAGACCGCAGAAUCUGUGGUACUGGUUGUAACCUACCA